AUACUUACCUGGACGGGGUCAAUGGGCGAUCAAUAAGGCCCAUGGCCUAGGUUUGUGACUUCCAUUGCACUUUGGAAGGGUGCCUGACUAAGGUCGGCCCAAGUGGUCGAGCCUACGUCAUAAUUUGUGGCAGCAGGGGCCUGCGUUCACGCGGCUACUAC
rnacentral:snRNA from 1 species